UACGACAAACUCCCAGGCUGCUUCGGAUGUCGACUUGACCUACGCCCACACACGAUACAACAACACGUUAUCUUAUCUUCGAGUAGGGAUGGAUGGGAACCUUAGAUUCUACACGUAUAAUCCAAACGUGCAAGUCUACGCCUGGGAUGUGGCUUACGAGUUUAUGGGCAGAGAUUCCUUAGAAAGUGAGUGUCAGUUGCCGGAGCGAUGUGGGAAGUUUGGGCUAUGUGAGAAUAGUCAAUGUGUCGCAUGCCCAACACCAAACGGACUAAGUGGGUGGAGCACAGAUUGUGAGGCAAAGAAGGUGACAUCUUGUAAAGCAAGCGACUUUAGCUACUAUAAGCUUGAAGGUGUUAACCAUUUUAUGAUAAGGUACACCAGGGGAGAUGGUGGAACGAAGCAAAGUGAUUGCGAAAGCAAAUGCACCAAGGACUGUAAGUGCAUGGGAUAUUUCUACCACACGGCUGAUUCGAGGUGCUGGAUUGCUUAUGAUUUGAAAACAUUAACUAAAGUCAGAAACUCGACUCAUUUGGCGUAUAUCAAAA
rnacentral:lncRNA from 1 species